rnacentral:rRNA from 1 species
UACGUAGGGAGCGAGCGUUAUCCGGAAUUACUGGGCGUAAAGGGUGUGUAGGUGGUUUGGCAAGUUAGAAGUGUAAUACCUAGGCCUAACUUAGGUGCUGCUUUUAAAACUGUUAGACUUGAGUGCAGUAGAGGUUAGUGGAAUUCCUAGUGUAGCUGUGGAAUGCGUAGAUAUUAGGAGGAACACCAGAGGCGAAGGCGGCUAACUGGACUGUAACUGACACUGAGACACGAAAGCGUGGGGAGCAAAC